rnacentral:misc_RNA from 1 species
GGAAUAAUUUCCUAAUUAUAGCCAGCAUUUAAGGCUUUAAUCAAGAGAUUACAAUUAGAAUAAUAUCUUAAUAAUUAUAGGCAGCAUAUCAAAAUAUUACAAUUAAAAUAAUAUCUUAAUUUGAUAAUGUCCAUAAAAUCUUGAUAUGAUUAUCUGUUGCUGUCAUUUUGGAUGUCAUUGCCUUCUUCAUCCUGCUGCUCACAUCUUGCAUAAACCUUGCCAAUGAAUGUCUCUAACAAAAUAGGAAUUGAAUCGAGUACUGAAAAUUAAGGGACAUAAGAUACUGAACUUCAAUUUCUCUGUAGAAUUAGCAUUUUGGGGACUCUGUAGAAUUAGCAUUCAUCGGGGCACUGCAUGUUUCUGUAUGGUGUGUCAUAAUUUUAGUUCUGCAUUUUCUUCUUUUUUCUAAGCUAAUGUGGAUAGUAUGCCUACACAUAUUAUAGGCAAUAGCAUAGAACAAAAUUGAUGUUUGGUCUAUGACAACAUGAAAUAAUUAUUUCAAUUGAAUAGUUAAUUACUUAUUUUAUUCAAUUAAUAUUACUUCAUAAACUGAAAUACUGAAUUUAUAUUUAAAAGUUGCCUUACUACCAUGUAAAACAUCUGUUGUCAUCUGGUCCGGUUAGGAUGUCUGGGGUUCACCCAGUUUUCCAGGGUUCAAAUUCUGGCAACGAAAAUUUUUCUGAUUUUUGAACAUGUCAAUUUUGCCUUUUGUGGUCAGGUCGUUGAAUCUUAUAAUACGGUGGCUUAUGUCAAUAAAAUUUCAAUUUGGGUUCAUCUUCACUAUUAUUCUUUCGUUAUCUAUUCUUCUACUAAAUUUCAGGGCAAAUUCUAUCUUGUUUUGGUCCUGGCUUAUUUUAUUUUUAUGCAACUGCAAAUCCUUUUACCAUGGUUUUUCUUUGCUUUUGUUCUCCUAAUGGUCAUAGUUUGUCCCAAGCAGAGGUGGGCCAUCAUUCGUAAGAGGAGGCUUGGCAACUGGAAUCUGGGAGGUAACACAAGUGGUGUGCAACUAACUGAGGCACAGCGAGCAGCACUUCAUGCAAUGAAUUUAGCCCUUGAUCUGCCAGUUAAGAAUACAUUUACAAAUAACUCU